rnacentral:lncRNA from 1 species
CUGAGUAGGUGGGAUUACAGGCAUGUGCCACCAUGCCCAGCUAACUUUUUUGUGUUUUCAGUAGAGAUGGGGUUUUGCCAUGUUGGCCAGGCUGGUCUCAAACUCCUGACCUCAGGUGAGCCACCCAUCUCAGCUUCCCAAAGUGCUGGGAUUACAGGCAUAAGCCACCAUGCCCGGCCAACAGGAAGUCUUUCAGAUCAUCUAUUCCAGCCAAAUGAUGAACUGAAUGGGGGAAAACUGAGUCCCAAAAGAGAAAGUAACUUGCUUAAAGUCAUACAUCAAAUUGAUAGAGAAACCAAGACUACAAUUUGGAUGCUAACUCUGAGUUCAGUGCUUUUGUUUUUAUUUUUGACAACCUCAUAUUAACUCACAUCAUUAGAAAAUGCUGAGUAAAGUGUCAAGGAGAAGUUUACUGAAUGCAUACUGCAUGCCAGGUACUGUUUAAAGCCUUUCCAUCAUAUUAAUGCUCACAAUGACUGUCUGAGAAAAGUACUGCUACUAUCAUUUUUAUUUUAAAUGUUAGGAAACUGAGGCAGGGAGAAGUUAAGUAACUGGACCAGAGUUACUCAGUGAUAGAGCCAGGGUUCACAUCUAGACUGUCCCCAUGAUCCACUGUCUUUACCAUUCUACUAGAUUGGUUCUCAUCAGGAUUCUCCAUAUCUCAUGUUUCAACAGAGCGGCCUUGCCUACAAGCAGUAUACAGAAUUGUAUUGUGAGGGAAGGCCUCAGCUCUCUUCUUUCCAUCGUGUUUGUAUUGAGCUCCCCUAGGGCUUCUAGCUUAAGAAAACUUGAGGGUAAAGAGGAGUGGGAACCAUAGGAAGAUAGCUAACACAUACGAUCCCUAAAAUCACAAGUGUUUUACAAUUCAAUGAGGUGGACACUAAAGGAAGAAGUCUGUGUGGACCCAGCAGCUUAGUAACAUUCUGUGUGGAGGGUGAGUCUGCCCUGGGUUUUGAAAAAUGAACAAGACAGUUUAAGGAGAUGGUCUCUCUGCUGAUUAUCGUGGUGUGUGGUCCUUCUCUGAGAACUGUGGGAAAGAAAAAAAAAAAAAAAAAGACACAUUAUUUACUUUGCAAGGUGCCUGAAAGUGUCUGUCUGCCCUGGUUUGGUUGGGAGGAGAGUCCAGCUCCCAUAACUUCCUAGUCUGUGGCUGGAGAAGAUACAUAGUUCCCUUCAGAAGAAGUUAAAUCAGUACCAAGACCAAUGCAAGUGAAAGGAAGCAUCAGGAUAAUCCAGAACAACUAACAAACCAUCUUCUUGUGAUUCCCAUGGGCUUCUGGGAUGCCCUCAGAGGGCUGGGAUUGAAGGACAACUGGCCUGAGGUGCUAGGACUCCAGGUUUCCCAACCCCACAGCUCAGCUUUUGGCUAAUUUAAUAUUAGGUUUCUAAGUACAUUUUCAUUAAACAAAUGUACCUAUCGCUAAGUAUAUCUGACAGCUAGUUAGAAAUUAUGCUACACUGAAUUAUUCAGAUCCUACAGCAUUCUAAAGAUGAGUGGCAAGGAAACUGACAUUUAUCAAGUGCAUGGUACUCAUUUCACUUAAUCCCCACAAAAACACUAAGAGGUAGGCUUUGCAGUUACAUUCACUUGACAGAUGAGGAAUCUGAGGUUCAUGAUGGUUGACUUGCCCAGAUCACACAGCUGUUUGUCAGUGGAGCCAACACUUGAAAGGAGUGCUGUGUGACUCCAAAGUGCACAUUCUUUUGAGUAUACUAGGUACAGUGAGAGAGUUUUGUCUGGAAAUGUGGGAGCAAAAAGAAAGCUGUAGAUUAUAGUCCGACCCUAAGCUUUUAUUCCUUGGGUCCUUCAUCAUCAGCACAAUGUCAUGGCUUUCAGGAGAUAGCAGGACAAAAAGGGUGGUAGCUUUUGGAGAAUGCUGUCUCUCAGGUUCUUGAAUCUUUGGGAGGAAUCUGAGAUGGAAAAAUAAACCAUAGCCUUGAAUGGUAAAUACACCAUGUGUUAAUGUGAAAACCUCCAAAUUCAGUUUGGAAAAGUGAGGCUGAAACAGUAUUAUGGAUGGGAAAUGCCCAGCCCAUUCUAGGUUCUUUUUCCCUUGGUUCUAUGAAAGACGUAGGUAGUGUACAACUUCGGAUGACUGCAACAACUAACGGGAACAAUCAUCUCUGGAAGCCUUAGGCACACAACAGAUAAGAGCUUUGAAGAACUUGCCUUUGGGGCCCCUUCUUCCUUCUGUCUUGCCUCCCCAGCUCCACAUCCAGAAGUCUUCCCUAUUGGUAGUCAGCUAUUAACUUGUGAGAUGCUGCUGACAAGGACAUGAAGAUUUAUCCCCCGGCAGGAAAGUAUGGUUUGGGGAACCUUAAGAAACUGGGAAGUAUUCAAGGCUCAAAAGAGUAAAGCCAUAAUGGUGGCAUUUCAGACACAGCACCCGGCAGCAGAGAAGAGUGUGGAAUUCUGACACACCCAGUACUUAUUAUAAUGCAUUAAAAUGGUAUGUCUUGUUUCUAACACUUUGUUGUGGGGUAGGAGUGUGAAAAGGAAAAGUACAUGUUUGAAAUGCUUGUUCCCCAGUGCCGUAAAGAAAUAGCACUUGAACAUAAAUUUAAUUUAUGUAGUAAGGCCAUUUUUACUUUCUGCAGAAAGGGUAGACUCACCAGCAGUUUUGCCACGCGAGUACACUGAACAAAGGAGACAGGGUCAUUUAUAACCUGACGCGUCCACCCUACUGCUGUGUCUGGUUUCCAUUGGCUGGAACAGGACUUCACAUUCUGUAUUUGUCCCAAUUGGCUAGCAACUUAGAACUUUUUAAGAGGCAAAGGUAGAGGAGAACAAAGGAAGGAGGAAGUAACUUGUGGAAUGCUGAGAAAGGUAAAAACACUUUUAAAAUAAGGAAGAGGAACAGGCUAUGACCUAAUGCUUGCUUGGAUCAGUAUAAACAUACCAGGGCAAAUAUUUAGGAGCACAGGUCUUUGAAUAAAUUUUGCUUCUAAGAGAAGGUACUAUUUAUUCCUAAUUAGAUGGGGAGGAAAGUCUUUGAAGAGGAGCCUCUACUUUUACUUUUUACAAUACAUUUGGCUUCUUAAGCUUUGAUCCUCGCUUUAUGGGCAAGGUGUUUGGGGAAGGAGGGGGUCUUCAUGAGCAACCUAUCCAUGGUGAGGUGAACUGUAUCAUUCACCUUCACAUCAUACUGGCCCUCUGGCAACUUGCAACUCCAUUUUAUGCUCAGGAAGAACCCCGGAAGCCCACUGCUGUGGGAACCCACUGCUGGGCAGUCACUGCUGGGGAGGCCUGCUCAAGGACAUUUUAUGCUUUCUGAUCUAGCUCAUCAAACUUCUUGAUUUGGUGGCAUCCUUAGAACUUUAAUCUCUGUCCAGGUGCAGUGGCUCAUGCCUGUAAUCCCAACACUUUGGGAGGCUGAUGUGGGAAGAUCUCUUGAGUCCAGGGGUUCAAGGCUAGCCUGAGUAAUAUAGUGAGACCUUGUCUCUACCAAAAAUUAAAAUAAAAAUUUAAAAAGAACUUUAAUCUCUUUGUAAUCAAAACAAAUCUUCUGUUAAUAAGGAUGCAUGCCAAUCCUCUUUAAUUUGUCAUAGAUAUUAACUGUGGUUUCCCAAAUCUUCCACAAUUUUGCGUUACAUUUGCAAUCCCUGAAGAGUCCCCUAACCCACAUUUCUGUGGUCACCAUCAUGGCAAUAUCACUUUUAGUUUAUAUAACCUGUUCUCAGUGCAAAGAAGUCCUCUCCCUCAUCUCUCACUUGUUUCAACAAAUCUGGUAAAAAUGCAUGAGAUGUAAGGAUUUUCACAUACAGUCUGGGCUGCUUCUUCACAUUGAUUUGGAUGGAAUAGAAAGAUAUAAAUAUACAUGCAGAUUCAUGUCAAGAGGGCAUUCUCUGCAAUCAGGCUAAGCACCAUUGCUUUAAAAAAUUAUUUUUCUCCAUGUUAAAAAAGUAAACAUGUGAAUCAUACAAAUUUUGGAAAAUUAUAGGGAAAGAAAAAGGAAAACCAAUUCAUCAGGUUUCCACAAUCCUAGAAAAAUUGCUGUCAACAUUUUGGUCUACUUUCUGAUAGCAGAUUCUUUUUCCCUAUACAUAAUUUUAUUUUCUACAUAUAUUUGCUUUCCUUAGUGGAAAUAAUGUGGUGUAUAUGCAUCCCUUAUAUUACCCACUUAACAUUAUAUAUUAGCAUUUUUACAUGUCACUUAAAAAUUAUUUUUAAUACUCUAGAACUAGAGGGGUACAACAUGGACUGUUUAAUUAUUUCUUGAUUAUUAGAUUGUUUCCUAUUCUUUCUUGCUUUUAGAAAUUAGACCACAGUGGACAGCUUUCUACACAAAGGGUCAAGAUUGCUAAGCAUGACAAUUUUUAAAUAACUGAGCCCUCCAUCAACUGUUUUUAAUUAGUAGUAACACUUCAGUGAAGGUUUAAGGUGCCCACAGUACUUUUCAAGGUGGUAUAGAAGAGAUCUGGCAACAAAAUAUCAUGUCCCUACCCUUGAGCCUUAUUUGAAGAGGUGUGACAGAUGGUUUUAUUUAGCUGCCCCUCAGAGAUCUAUUCUUCUUUGGUAGAGGAUUUCUUAGUCAAUUGACAUCAGGAGGGAUCUGCUUCAGGGUGCAGCCUUUGAACAUUAUUGGGUGAGGAUAUGACAUUUGCAACUGUUGCAGCCACGUUGUGAAGAAAAGCAAGAGCUUAGUCUCAGGACAGAAGCCCAUGCUGGAAACUGGAUCCUCAGUGAUGUUAUCAAGCUGCUUAUCUGUCCUACAGCCAGACUUCUUAUUAAAUGAGAAAAUAAAUUUUCCUCAUUGUUUCUUCUAGUUGAGUCAGACUUUGUUAAUUGCAGCUGAAAGCAUCUGAACUGAUAAAGUGAAACCAAGACAUAUCAUAAUAAUGACUACCAUUUAUAAAAUAUAUUACAUACUUUAUCUUUAGUAGACUAGUAAUUCCCCUCACUGAACAGAUGAAGAGACUGAGUAUCAGAGGAGCUAUGCAACUUGCCCCAGAUCAUGGAACUGGGAUUUUAAUCCAUAUUUGUCUGAGUCUAAAGCCUUGUGGAUUACAGAAGUGAAGAAUGCCAAUCAUUUUAUCUAUGAGGCUGAAGAGGAAGUGGGUAGCUUGCUUAGUUUCCAAACCCUUUGUUGAGAUUGCAUGUGUGGAGCUUACUGCUUUAUAAAAUCCCUUUGCAUGCUAACUUAUUUUAUCUUCCCUUGUAUAACCUGUGGAAGAGGAGACAGGUCCAGAGUUCUAACUGUUCUGUCCAAAAGCACAAUGCCAGCUGGCAUCAGAGGCUGAACUAGAAUCCAAGUUCCCUGACCAGUGGUCCAGAACGCCCUCUGUAAAGCCCCCUACUCCAGUGCUCAGGAAGAACCCCGGAAGCCCACUGCUGUGGGAACCCACUGCUGGGAAGCCACUGCUGGGGAGGCCUGCUCAAGGACAGAGCCCCUCCGUUUCCUGGCUUUCUUUCUUUAGUCCCCACCAUUCAAUGUGCUUAUUUUCUCAAGCGCAGCAUCUACCCUGUGGCGCUGUUAACAAAUAUAAUACAUCAGAGAAAGAAUUACAAAUAUUUACGGUUGUAAUAACUUCCCACCCAAAAAAGGGGCAUGGAUCAGAUCAUUAGAGAAAAUCAACCCAGCAUGAGGUAUGUUUUUUAUUUCUCCCUUAGAUUUUAAUUCAGAUAAUGUACAUGAUUUUCUGGGGGUGAGAAACUUCUGCUUAGAGAAACAGGAUUUCACAUGGCAAUGAUGCUGGUUUGCAAAUAGGAGAUUUAUUUUUUGAUUCACUGAUUAUCUCAGAGUUCUGUAACCCAGAAAUCCCUCAGAGGCUUUACAACCAGGACGCUGAGAUUCUAGGAGUGGCAGCAUUCCAGUUGAUGUGUGAGUCUAAAAUACAAAGUGCCUUCUCUUUCAAACACUCUGUCUCUUUCACAACCUGCAUUAGAGGAAAUCUUUCUGUUAAUGUGUUUUUAAGGUUCAACAAGAAAUAAAAGCAAAUGGCUUAUUCUAAAAGACUCAGUACAUUGACAUCUGCUGUAGAAAUUUCCCUGACCACUUACCCUUGGGAUGGUUUGAGGUUCCUCCUCUGUCUACAAUCCCAUGAAAUGAUUCCUACUCAGCACCUCUUGCUCUGCAUCACAUUUGGCUCUCUUGUCCUCCAUCUCCCCCACCAGCAUCUGAGGUCCUUUAAGCAGAAACUGUAUAUUUGUGUUUCUAUCCCUAGUCCUCAGCAUGAAGCUUGCCAUGGGACUAGGUGCUCAAUACAUGUUUAUUCAAUGACUCCCAAAUGAUGCACAAGAAAAUAACUCUGUGUUGGUUUCCAUCUCCGUGUUCAGGUUGGUCCGUUGCUGCCAGAUGCUGGGCCAGGCCACCUGAUGGAGACCAGAAAUGCAUUACCCAGGCCAGGGAAGCCCUGCCUCUCCCCAACACUGUAGUUCUGUUUCUUUCCUUUUGCUGACAAAGUGCUUGUUCUGGAACUGAGCUAUGACUAACACUCUGCCCCUGAGCAAGGUGCCUGUCCCAGGGCUGCCUUUCCCCUGGGGCCCUGAGGUCUGAAGAGAUGGAGCUACAGAGGGUGGUAGAGAGUGACAGUGAGGGCCUUGGCAUCUGCCCUGCAGCCAAACACCAGCUGAGGAUGCUCUGGUCCAAGUGCUGAUCCUGUACUACACAAGGCUGCAGCCUUCAGUCCUCCUUUCCGACGAGCCUGCAUUCUCAAGGAAGCUGGAACAGAGAUGGUACCUUGGGUGCCAGUCUGUACUAGACAUUAAAAUAGCAGAAAUGGGGGAAAAGCGUAUUCCCAAGAACUUUUUUCAGAGAGGACAAUCUGAUAAACUCUGGGGGAUGUUGUGGGGCUGAGGAAUCAUGGAUGCCUCCUAACUGCCUUCUUAGGAGGGGAACUCGGGUUAUCUGAGGGCUCCAGGGUUUUGGUGGGGUGUGUACCUCCUCAGGUCCUCCCCCUCCCUGCCCUUAUCCUCACUGCUAAAAUGUGCAGCAAAAAUUUAAGGACUAUCAGCUUGCAGGGGUGUUACAUUAUUAGCUUGGAGGGUCCCCAGUGGUCUCUCUCCAGCUUAGGGCAGGGGACCUGAGCAUGAAUCCACACCUGAGGGUGUAGGGAGCAAGGGGAGAAGAAGGCAGUGCCAAGACUGGACAAUACAGGCCACUCCUGGGAGCUUCAAAGGUCCAAGGGGCUGAGGGACACAUGCUCCCCUGGCAGGAAAUCACAUAGGAGAUUGACAGAGCUGGUCAAAGGUGGUGCUGAAGGUGUGUCAGUGAGGACAGAGGCAGGCUUAGGAGGCUUGAGCAUGGGGUUAGAUUUACUCUGCGCCUAUGGAUAUGGAGAGUCCAGGGCUAGACCCUUUCUAACUCUUCCUCAAGGCUCCAAAGCCCCUUUUCCUGGAACAAGCUGCACUCUGCCCAGAACAGAAUCAUACAGCCAAGGGAAGCUAUCUUUUCCCACAACCUCUCACAAGCAGUCAGCUAGGGCACCUUGCCCUUUACCUUUCAUAACCAAGCCCGUCAGUUUCAGCCCAUACCCCGCGAAAGAUGAGAGAGCAUUCCUUGAUACUCCCAGCACAUCCUUUGUAUGGUACCACUGGGUGGAGGGUUACUUGUGGCACCCAGUGAAGCUACUCCAGGUCUUAUUUGCUGUCUCCUCUGUUCACCUCUUAUCAAAUGAACAAGCCAACGUAACCAACUCAGGCUCUCAGAGACUUGCCUUGUCUUCUGUUCCUGCCUUCCCUCACUGCCGCUGUCUAUGUUUGCAUUUCUGAAACUGCUUGAGGCUGUAGUUGCAUCCCUCAAAAUGGUCUUUUCCUGCUUUUGACAUGGUUCAGGGCUCCAGCUAACAAUGAACUUGUUCCUGUGUCCUUUUUUUCUUUUUUUUUUGGAAGGGGGAGUCAAUAGUCAAUACAUACAUUAUGCAUAUAAAUACAUAUAAUACAAUAAUAAUAUGUGUAUUGACCCCUGCCCCCCCCCCAAAAAAAAAACCACAAAUACAAUGGAAGCAUGGGCAUUACAUGGCUGCAGGUCAGGCCUGCUCGGUGUCACCCUACUGUCAGCAGCCCCACUGGCCUGAGGUGUCUGCUCAAUGCCAACAGGUAAAAAGUAUGCCCAGUAGCAUCUGACAGUCACUAAGUCAGGACUGUGUCAUCAGUUUAUCAUUUUCCUUAUUAGUCCUAUCACUCACUCUUCUCCUUCUUCUAGGGGGAGGUGAUCAGGUUGUUACUUUCCUUUUUAAACCCAUGACUGAAACUCCCUUUCCUAACUUUCCUUGACCCAGUGCCCCAAUCUCUACCUGAAAACUGAAAAUGGAAGUGAACUCUGACAAGGCCCCCCAGUGCCCAGAGUCUGUGACGUUCUCCAGGAGGGCAGUUGUCCUGGCAACCCUAUUCCUCUGUGCAUGGAGUUCUUAGGUUCUUUAGGUCUCACGGCUGGCUUGCACCAUGCAGAGCUCCUGAAGGUAACCUGAGCACAAGGGUUGUCAGAGAAGCUGAGCUUCCAGAAGCCACAAUGCAUGGUGGUUAGCAGUCAGACCUGGCCAUACUUUAUGAUCCCAGGUGACACUUCAGAUGCGAAUGCCUCUCAUGGCAUGACAAGGACGUUUGUUUAGGACACUGGAAUACAGUGUUCAGAGACUGCUGGGAAUGCACUUGCAAUAAAAUGGAAAAGCCACAAAGCAGCUGCGAGGUGUUUGCAGCAAGAGCAGCCUUUUCUCUGAGGGGAGGUGACUGAGUUGCCACUUCUCCAGAGCAUCAGCAGAGUGCUGUGCCUG